UUACGCCUAGUCAGUCAGUGUGACCCACAGCGCAGUUUGUCCAUCCACCGGUAAAGAUGAUGGGUUCUGUUGCCCAAUCUCUUCAUCUUGCCGUAAAGAUGAUGGGUUUUGUUGCGCUGCUCGUUGUUCCUCACCUAAAGAUGAUGGGUUUUCUUGUGUAGUUUACUCACCUCUGCAUUUACAAAGAUGCGUGUCUGAGCUUUGUUUCAUAGUAUGGCCGUUUCUAUUGGUAAAGAUGAGUAUGAUUUCGCUCGAUCUCUUCCUCCUCUUGUAAUUGAAGAGUAAUUUUGUUGACAUGUCAAAGCACAUUGAUGAGCCUCGAUUUAAGGAGUGCAUAAAGCAGUAAAACUACCUUCCAUCACAGAUGC
rnacentral:precursor_RNA from 1 species